rnacentral:rRNA from 1 species
AGUGAACGCUGGCGGUAGGCCUAACACAUGCAAGUCGAACGGCAGCACAGUAAGAGCUUGCUCUUACGGGUGGCGAGUGGCGGACGGGUGAGGAAUACAUCGGAAUCUACUUUUUCGUGGGGGAUAACGUAGGGAAACUUACGCUAAUACCGCAUACGACCUACGGGUGAAAGCAGGGGAUCUUCGGACCUUGCGCGAUUGAAUGAGCCGAUGUCGGAUUAGCUGGUUGGCGGGGUAAAGGCCCACCAAGGCGACGAUCCGUAGCUGGUCUGAGAGGAUGACCGCCCACACGGAAACGAGACACCGGUCAGACUUCCACGGGAAGGCAGCGGGGGGAAUUUUUGAACAAGGGGGGCAGGCCUAUCCAGCCCUAACGGGGUGGUGAAGGAAGCCCUCGGGGUGUAAAGCCCCUUUUGUGGGAAAGAAAAGCAGCAGGUUAAUACCCCGCUGUUCUGACGGUACCCAAAGAAUAAGCACCGGCUAACUUCGU